GGCCCGUUCGUCUAGCUGGCCUAGGACGUCAGAUUUUCAUUCUGAAGAUCAGGGGUUCGAAUCCCCUACGGGCUACCU
rnacentral:tRNA from 1 species